rnacentral:tRNA from 1 species
CGGGUUGUGGCUCAGCUUGGUAGAGCGCUGCGUUCGGGACGCAGAGGCCGGGAGUUCAAAUCUCCCCAACCCGACCA